GAAAUGCGAUAAGUAAUGUGAAUUGCAGAAUUCAGUGAAUCAUCGAAUCUUUGAACGCACAUUGCGCCCCCUGGUAUUCCGGGGGGGCAUGCCUGUUCGAGCGUCAUUUCACCACUCAAGCCUCGCUUGGUAUUGGGCGACGCGGUCCGCCGCGCGCCUCAAAUCGACCGGCUGGGUCUUCCGUCCCCUCAGCGUUGUGGAAACUAUUCGCUAAAGGGUGCCGCGGGAGGUCACGCCGCAAAACAACCCCAUUUCUAAGGUUGACCUCGGAUCAGGUAGGGAUACCCGCUGAACUUAAGC
rnacentral:misc_RNA from 1 species